rnacentral:lncRNA from 1 species
CGUCGUCUACAUUUCAGGGGGCGGCGGGCCCCUGUUCAUGUGACCUUCAGUGUUCGGAAUGACGUAGGAAGGUAAGUCCCUCCCCCCGGGGUCAGGCUGAGGGUGAGGGUUAGGAUGAGGAUUCCGGUGAGUGACAGCCUCGCAGUUUCUGCACCUGGGUAUUGGUGGGCGGCUUUCCUAGUGAGUAUCAGCAUGAGAUUUCACCUUAGGCUCAGCCACAGUGGAGGAGGUCGAGGACCGCCCUCGGGGAAGGUAGGAAUCAGGUGGUGGGUUAGGGUUAGGGUUAGGACAGGGGAGCACGACACGGAAGGAAUUCACACAGCAGACAAUUUGGGCGUGAGAGGCAAGGUGGUGGGUUAGGGUUAGGGUUAGGACAGGGGAGCACGACACGGAGGGAAUUCACACAGCAGACAAUUUGGGUGUGAGAGGUAAGGUGAGGGCAGUGACUUUUGUGAAGCUCAGAAGUGCCGCGGUUUUCCCUCGGACCGGAGCCUUGCCGCCUUGACAGAAUCGGGAGGGAGGCGCCAUCGCCUAGCGUUAGAGCCACAUUUAGGGGCUGGAUCGGAUUCCCGGUUGGACUCCC